GGGGAUGUUUUGGUUUUGACAGCACAAGACAUCGGUCUGUAAGCAUACCGGGGACGGCAUCCACCCCGUUAACAAGAUACCAGGCCAAUAACUGGCAACAACAAUUAUGCUCUCGCUGCGUAGUAAACCGGGUUUACUGCCUUAAUCGCGGUCGCCAAGGGCGAUAGCGACGAGUAUCCCGACAGGCUUUAUGCCGGCCAUGUCUGUCAUACGGGGUAUCAUUCAAGCCGGCUGCGGCCGCGGACUCCCUUAAAGCGGCUUAAGGAUUAGGGGAUAAGGUUACGAUGGCGCGUCUGUCCGCAGUCGUCUCACGAAAAACGUAGGCGGAAUAAGUAUGUAGAAAGCAUUCUGGUGCUGUGUUUGGACGGCGGUUCGAGUCCGCCCAUCUCCACA
rnacentral:tmRNA from 1 species